rnacentral:lncRNA from 1 species
CUGGAUUUAGUAACAAUUUUUUUCUGACGUCAAAAAGCAUGGCAUAAUGCAAGAGGCUGGGCGUGCGUGGGCGUAAUAGUAUAUUUUCCGGGGGGUUUUUUAUCAUUAUGACACAAGCUCUUAACACAGCCUAAUUUUUUUAUUAAAUAAAUAUCGGUGGUAUUUAAUUCCCGGCCCCCACGCGGAGGAGAGUAAAUGUUGGCCUCCCUUCCACCGUCGGGAAGCUGGCCGGGGCCUUGACCGGGGCCAGUCAACGGUCCACAACCUUGUCGGCGGCGACGAAAUCUGAACAUCGCAGUGUGUUCACAUCCUUCACGUCCCUCUCGCCGCUGCCCCUACUGCCGACGGCCACCGUUGCCGGCGACCGCCGAUCUGUGGCAGCCGGUUUGCUGCCGUCUUUUUAAGAAGCCUUGAUCAGGCCUUGCCAUGCUUCUCCUGCAGUGAUCCUCCGACCUGAUCGUCGUCGUCGUCGUCGUCUUCCUCCGGAGAAGCAAGCUUGGUCGUGCGCGGUCAUCAGUGGGGAGUCAUGAAGAACAUAGAUUCAUCUUCUAUCGUGGACCAGAGCUCUCCGUAGCCUUGAUUCCAGUUUCUGGAUCGGAAUAGUAGUGAUGAUCCAGUCUGCUCCCGUCUCCUGCGGGCGCCAAAUCACGGCGCUCCCUCGCCUCACUGCCGACUCCAUCGCCCAUCCAUCUGUCCACUAGGUUUUUUCUGCUGGGAUCGACGGUUACCUGCGUUGAUGCCACAGUGAGAAGAUAAUUCAGUGCAGUGAUUCGAUCGUCUUAGGCGACGCCGCUGCAUUCAUGGAGAGCUUCCAAUCUGUGCACCGAGCGCGACUUUCCCUCUCGAGGUGAUGAUCUCGCGACAGAAUGGAUUCUCAUUUUUCAACCAAACCGAGAAAGAAACCAGAAAUUUCUUGAGAAAUAGAGCAAGAGUGUGGAAUCCCGGUCAUUCGCGAAUGAAGAAGCAUCGCCAGAAUCUUACACGCAGAGAUCCCUCAUCGAGCAGGCAUCUCGAACCGGAAGCCGCCCCCUGAGACAGCUUCCCCUCCUGGACUCAUCCUCCCUCCCUCCCUGAGGAGAGGGAGCAGAUGAAGGUGAAAAGUGGGAGGAGCAAUCGGAACGGAUCCACCUGCCGAUCUGCUUUUCCCGCAGGACCAGGUCUCGGCACCUCGACGCUGAACGGCGUCAGACUUUUUCAAACCGUUUCCCUGCCGACGAAUCACGGCGGCCUAGGCCUCCCUCCCGCUGGAAAACGACGGCACCAGUCGGCCGUCGCCGUCGGCCCAGAGUACGUGAACAUGCUCGCUGAGAUCUUCCCCCUCCGUCUACGUUCUUGGAACACGCCGUUGCCGACAGCGACACCGCGAAUGGCCGCCACCUUGCCCCCGCACAUGGCCCCGCGGGAACGUCCUGCCGCCGACGCCGCCACCGCAAUCAAUGGGCUCCUCCCUCCGAAGAAAGGCAAAUGAGAGAGAGAGAGAGAGAGAGAGAGAGAGA